rnacentral:misc_RNA from 1 species
AACGCACAUUGCGCCCCUUGGUAUUCCGAGGGGCAUGCCUGUUCGAGCGUCAUGACCAAAUCUCGAGCACUUGUGCUUGGUGUUGGGCUUUUCGUCUAAGUUUUUCUCCUGUAAAGAGGGAAAAGUCUGACGUGCCUGAAAAUCAAUGACGGUGUCUCAAUAGACUCAAGCGUAGCAGACUGACUCUCGCUUUGGAAGACUUUUGUGGUGCUGUCAGCUAAAAAAAAAAACAAUGAAUUUGGACCUCGGAUCAGGUAGGAAUACCCGCUGAACUUAA